UCGACCUGAGGUCAGGCAAGAACACCCGCUGAACUUAAGCAUAUCAAUAAGCGGGA
rnacentral:rRNA from 1 species